rnacentral:misc_RNA from 1 species
GAGUAUUUGUAAUUGUAUAUAUUAGUGCGUGUGCGUUUAUUUUUGUUAGUAUGAAAGUAUUUUAGUUUUUAAUUUUAAAAAUUUUAAAUUAGUUUUAUGAAGAGAAUUUUUUUUUGUGAAAAGUAAGAUUAAGAAAAAAUAAAUUAAAGAUAUGUGAUUUAUUUAAUGAAAGUGAAAAAGAAGUUUUAAAAUAGUGUUAUUGAUUAAAAAGAAUAUUUGGAAUGU